rnacentral:misc_RNA from 1 species
CAAGAGUGCCGAAAGCUCACUUAAAACCAUCGCGAACGUUAUCCAGACGUCGUGCUUCGGCGCGCGGCUCGCCCGCACGGGGGACCGCUACCCCGCCUCUGCAGUAUUAGGGCCUCUCUGAGUACGACUCUGUAUUAUAGUGUAUCUGAGUAUACAAUAUU